rnacentral:rRNA from 1 species
AUGUCCGCCGCGGCAGCUAUCGCGGCACCGCCGCGACACAGCCGGCCGUCGCCUCUCAACCCAAAUGCAACGGCGAUGGCCAGCACCACCAAACCUAACGCCGUCUGUACAAAGACGCACCUCGCCAACCUCGAUCGCAUCCUCCUCCGCCCGCCGCCGCUCCCGCUCCCGGUCAGGCCUAAGAAGGCGCUCGCCGACGAGUCCGGCGGGGGCGACAGGGAGGAGACCGCCCCCGACUCCGACGAACGCAGAGGCCGCCGGGGCGGUCUCCUCAACGCGCUGAACCUGUCGACGUUCCUGCCGUUCACAGGGAGGCCCGCCACGGACGAGAUGUCCCCGCGUAGCCUGGCACAAAUGCAGCGGCUCCUCACGCUCUCGCCGCGGCCCUCGCCCAGGGGAACCAUCGCCGCCGAAUGGCGACGUUACCACGGCGAGGGCGCGUGGAAGGGCCUGGUCGACCCGCUCGACCAGAACCUCCGCCGCGAGGUUUUGCGAUACGGUGACUUCGUGCAGGCCGCAUACACGGCGUUCCACUCCAUGCCGUCGUCGCCGUCGCACGGCCACGGCCAGCAUCGCACGCUCGUGCUACCGGACCGGUCGUACCGGCCGACUCGCAGCCUGUUUGCCACGUCUUCCUUGUCAAUCCCGCCGUGGGCGCAGCGGCGGUCGGCGCCCAAGUGGCUGACACAGCGCACCAGCUUCGCCGGCUACGUCGCCGUCUGCGACAACGAGCGCGAGGUUCGGCGCAUGGGCCGUCGCGACAUCGUCAUUGUGCUGCGCGGCACCGCCACGUGCCCUGAGUGGGCAGAGAACCUCCGCACCGGCCUCGUGCCGGUGUCGGACGACGAUGACAGCGACGACGCGACGGCGGCGCAGAACGUGCCCAAGGUGGCGAAGGGGUUCCUGAGCCUGUACAAGACGGCCGGCGACCACGUGCCCAGCCUGUCGGACGCCAUUGUGGAGGAGGUGAGGAGGCUGAUCGAGGUGUACAAGGGCGAGGAGCUCAGCAUCACGGUGGUUGGCCACAGCCUCGGCGCAUCUUUGGCCCUCCUCGCCGCCGACGAGCUAAGCGCGUGCCUGGCCGCCGAUGCGGCGAGUAACAGCACCGCUGCAGAUGAUCAUCAGCCGCCGCCCGUCUCCGUGGUUUCCUUCGGCGGCCCGAAGACCGGCAACCGCGCGUUCGCGGACCGGCUACAGCACGAGCGGGGCGUGAACGUGCUGCGCGUGGUGAACGCCGGCGACGUGGUGACGCGCGUCCCCGGGCUCGUGACACCGACGACGAUGGCCGAAGGAUACGUGCACGCGGGUGGCGCGGAGCUGACGCUGGACAGCCGCGACUCGCCGUGCCUGCGCCCGGACGCCGGCCCGGCCUGCUGCCACGACCUGGAGGCCUACCUGCACCUGCUGGACGGGUUCAUGGGCUCCGGCAGGCCGUUCCGGGCCGACGCGAGUCGCAGCGUGGCGGGGCUGCUCGUUUACCAGCGGACCAGCGUGAAGCGUGCCUACGUGGAGCGCGCGAGGGUGCUCGGGUUCGAGCCGGCGGCCAUGCCAAGGACCGCCACGGCCAACGGCGCUGGCGCUGCUGAUGGACAGUACGGCUUCCUGGCCAGUCCCUCGUGA